ensembl:snRNA U6 U6 spliceosomal RNA
GUGCUCACUUCAGCUGUAUGUAUACUAAAAUUGGAAUGAUACAGAGAAGAUCAGCAUGACCCCUGCACAAGAUAGGAUGUAAAUUCUUGAAGCAUUCCAUUAUAAA